GACGAGCGCUGGCAGCGUGCUUAACACAUGCAAGUCGAACGGAAAGGCCCUGCUUUUGUGGGGUGCUCGAGUGGCGAACGGGUGAGUAACACGUGAGUAACCUGCCCUUGACUUUGGGAUAACUUCAGGAAACUGGGGCUAAUACCGGAUAGGAGCUCCUGCUGCAUGGUGGGGGUUGGAAAGUUUCGGCGGUUGGGGAUGGACUCGCGGCUUAUCAGCUUGUUGGUGGGGUAGUGGCUUACCAAGGCUUUGCCGGGUAGCCGGCCUGAGAGGGUGACCGGCCACAUUGGGACUGAGAUACGGCCCAGACUCCUACGGGAGGCAGCAGUGGGGAAUAUUGCACAAUGGGCGGAAGCCUGAUGCAGCAACGCCGCGUGCGGGAUGACGGCCUUCGGGUUGUAAACCGCUUUCGCCUGUGACGAAGCGUGAGUGACGGUAAUGGGUAAAGAAGCACCGGCUAACUACGUG
rnacentral:rRNA from 1 species